rnacentral:rRNA from 1 species
UACGAAGGGUGCAAGCGUUAAUCGGAAUUACUGGGCGUAAAGGGUGCGUAGGCGGUUGUUUAAGUCUGUCGUGAAAUCCCCGGGCUCAACCUGGGAAUGGCGAUGGAUACUGGACAGCUAGAGUGUGUCAGAGGAUGGUGGAAUUCCCGGUGUAGCGGUGAAAUGCGUAGAGAUCGGGAUGAACAUCAGUGGCGAAGGCGGCCAUCUGGGACAACACUGACGCUGAGGAGCGAAAGCGUGGGGAGCGAACAGG